GAAUAGAUACCCAGGUAGUCCACGCCGUAAACGAUGGAUACUAGCUGUUGGAGGUAUCGACCCCUUCAGUAGCGAAGCUAACGCGUUAAGUAUCCCGCCUGUGGAGUACGGUCGCAAGACUAAAACAUAAAGGAAUUGACGGGGAUCAGCACAAGCGGUGGAUUAUGUUCUUUAAUUCGAUGAUAACCGAUGAGCCUUACCAGGGGUUUGACAUCCAGGAAAGCACUACGAAAGUAGAGUGUGCCUUUUGGAAUCCUGUGACAGGUGUUGCAUGGCCGUCGUCAGCUCGUGUCGUGAGAUGUUUGGUUAAGUCCAUCAACGAGCGCAACCCUUGCAAGUAGUUGUAUUUUUCUACUUGGACUGCUCUAGUAAUAGGGAGGAAGGAGGGGAUGAUGUCAGGUCAGUAUUACCCUUACACCCUGGGCUAGAAACAUAAUACAAUGGCCGGUACAGUGCGCAGCGAAGCAGUGAUGUGGAGCAAAUCGCAUCAAAGCCGGUCCCAGUUCGGAUAAGAGGCUGAAACUCGU
rnacentral:rRNA from 1 species